ensembl:lncRNA
GGAGAGGACUGGCACUGGAUAUUUCCUUUCCUCCACAUAGAAGACUAGAGCCAGCUGGAGGUGGGUAUUUAUCUUCCUCAGGUCACUUGUGCUCUGAUAAAACUCCAGCUGCUUAGGUUCUGGUUAACUAGUUUCUGCUGAGAGCAGGCCUCAUUAAGAAGUACAGAAUGCUCUGGUGAAUUUCAAAAUGGUUGCUUCCCUCUCCCACUGGGAGAAGCACAAGGGUAUUUUCCCCUGGUAUUCAUUGUGAGAACCUGGCCAGGCUCCAGGAGGUAAAAUUCACAAAAUGUGGGGACCUCGCUAUGAUUGUGUCACCCUGGAGGUUUUAUCUCUUAGACUUUCCACACGGAGCCUCCAAAUUCUUCAGUUACAGUUAAGGUUUUGCUACUCCACGCUGGUUUCCAUGGAGAUUUCAGCUCAUGGGUUUCUGCUCUGAAUGUUCUGAUGGAAGAGAAGAUAAUUGUGGACACUAUAAAAAACGGAUGAACUAUUCCGACAUCUCGAAAGCUGUGAGCUAUAAUGGUUCGUUGCUGAAUCCUUUUCGUAAAUUCAUUGGAGACGAGGUUGGUGGAAACAUGCUAAUGCUAAAUUUCUGUGAUGCGUUCACCUGUAUGGUAGUUGGAGGAGGCUGCAGAAUCUCUACUAUUGGUGUGCCUGGCAUGAAGAUGGCCAGUGAGGAGCAUGAGCAAGAGAUGAAAUUCAGCUCUUACCACCAACCAAGCCAUAUUUACCCUUCAUCAGCCUGGAGAAAGGGGUGCCUUUUGGCUAUUUGCACAAAGGUGCUAUAUGUGCUAACAGCAGUCCAGUUUUGUCUAAGUACUUUAUACAAAUAGAGUCCUAAGUAUAUAUUCUUUUGUGUCUUGCUUCUUUCUCUCAACUUUAUUUUGGUGGCUUCAUCCAAAUUAUUGUAUGUAGUUGUAAUGCAUUCAUUCUCAGUGUUGUAGAGUGUUUACAUAAUUUGCUUAUCUAUUCUGCUAUUGAUGUGCAUUUGAGUAGUUUUAGUUUGGGGCAUAUAAAUAUUUUUGGUAUAACAAUUAGAGUAGAUGUUUUGGGGAAAUAUGUUUACUUAUUUCUGUUUGAUCUAUUCCUGGAACUACUGUUGCUGGAUCAUAGCAUACAUAUAUGAAUGUUUAGUUUUAGUAGUAUCACCAAUAGUUUUCCAAAGUGUUUUGCUAAUUUACAUUCCCACCAUUUGUGUUUGGGGUUCUGGUUAUUCCACAUUUUUGCCAUUACUUAGUAUUUUCAUAUUCUUCAUUUUAGCCAUUCUGAUGGGUAUGUAACGAUUUUCCAUUAUGGUGUAAUUCGCAUUUCCCUGAUAAUUAACAAAGUUGAGCACCUUUCAACAUACGCAUUAUCCAUUUGGAUAUCCUCUUUUAUUGUGUCUCUUAAUGUCUUUUGCCUAUUUUUAUAUUGGAUUGUCCACUUUCUUCUUAUUGAUUAAUAGGGACUCUUUAUACAGUCUUUUGUUAAUUUUGUUUUGAGAAAAUGUUCCCUUAUUUGUAGAUUGCUUUAUCAUUCUCCUAAAGGUGUUUUUGAUAACAGGGAUUCUUAAUUUUAAUCUAAUAUGGUUUAACAAGUUUUUCUUUUGUGGUUACUGCCUUUGGGGUCCUAUUUAAGAAAUCUUUGCAUAUUCCAAGUUCAUAAAGAUUUCCCUUUUUCUUUAAAGCUUUAUUAUUUUACCUUUAACUUUUAGAUUUCCGUUUUUGAACUGAUGAUUUUUGCAUGCUAAAUGUCCAGAUACAUUUUAUUUUACAGAUAUCCAAUUGAGCCCAGCUUCAUCUAUUGAAAAGUCCAUUUUUUUCCCACUGUGAUAUAGCAUCACUUUUCUCACAAAUUCUAGGCAAAUUUUAAAGUUGAAAAACAACAUUAAGAAAAAUGACAUGAUGUGUAAUUAGUGCCCACUGUGAACAUUCACAUUUUAAAUGUUUUUUUCUUUUUUUGGAGUUGUUGAAAUAUUUAACAAAAUAUUUUAUUAACUUCUUAUCUAUUUUUAUUUAUUAAUUUAUUUAUUCAAUUCAGUGAGAAGCAGUGUAAUAAAAUGGCUGCUAUCUCUGUCCCUCAUCAUUGUGGUUUGUGAUGAUACUUCCUUGAGUGAUCUGCUGGUUUUUAUUAAGCUUUCUUGCCAUGUGCAGAUGACAAAUAAAAAAAGAGACAUGAACUAAAAGGUGUGCUUCUGCUCAUAGCUAUCUCUUCUCUCUAUUAAGGUAAUGUACUUGUCAAUAGACCUCAUAUACAUGCAGAGAAGUUUCUAGCUCCUUGGAAAUAUAUUUAUUUUACAAAGGAAAUCUUUAGUCCCAGAAAAAUGAAGUGACUUGUCACAGUACUGAUUGAAGAGACAGCCUGG